rnacentral:tRNA from 1 species
AAGCUAAGAAAUCUCAAAAGAGAGCUUCUAACUCACUUUUAAGCGGCCCCCCCCGUUUUUAGCUUU